CCUACGGGAGGCAGCAGUGAGGAAUAUUGGUCAAUGGGCGCGAGCCUGAACCAGCCAAGUCGCGUGAGGGAAGACGGUCCUAUGGAUUGUAAACCUCUUUUGUCGGGGAGCACAAGACGCCACGCGUGGCGCUCCGAGAGUACCCGAAGAACAAGCAUCGGCUAACUCCGUGCCAGCCGACGCGGUAAUACGGAGGAUGCGAGCGUUAUCCGGAUUGAUUGGGUUAAAGGGGUGCGCAGGCGGAAGAUCAAGUCAGCGGUAAAAUUGAGAGGCUCAACCUCGUCGAGCCGUUGAAACUGGUUUUCUUGAGUGAGCGAGAAGGAUGCGGAAUGCGUGGUGUAGCGGUGAAAUGCAUAGAUAUCACGCAGAACUCCGAUUGCGAAGGCAGCAUACCGGCGCUCAACUGACGCUCAUGCACGAAAGUGUGGGUAUCGAACAGGAUUAGAUACCCUGGUAGUC
rnacentral:rRNA from 1 species